CUACGGGGGGCUCCAGUUAGGAAUCAUCUACAAUGCACGCAAGUGUGAUAGUUUGAGCCAGAGUGAUUCUCAAAUUGGGAAUCUUUUAUGAAAUGUAAAAAGUUUUUUGAAUAAGGACUGGGUAAGACUAGUGCCAGCCGCCGCGGUAAUACUAGCGGUCCAAGUCGCAGCCAUUUUUAUUGGGUCUAAAACAUCCGUAGCUUGCUUGAUAAGUCCUUUGUGAAAUCCUAUGUCUUAAGCAUAGGGCGGGCAAGGGGUACUGUCAAGCUAGAGACUGGGAGACGUGAGAAGUACGUUCAAAGUAGCGGUGAAAUGUGUUAAUCUUGAGCGGACUCACAAUAGCGAAGGCAUCUCACGAGAACAGUUCUGACAGUCAGGGAUGAAGGCUAGGGGCGCAAAACGGAUUAGAUACCCCAGUAGUC
rnacentral:rRNA from 1 species